ACACCAGGCUUAUUAAAGAGUACUUUCUUUUUAACAGAGUGAGAGAAGAGUCACAGCCAAUUCCUCAACUUCUUUGUUCUAGCUGAGUACUAUAUGGGAGGUCCUACCAAUAUCGACCCCCCAGAACUGGGGGUACUACCACCACAAGAUCUAAAGCUGUAGCUGCCACCUACUAACCUCCAUUUAUGGGUCUUUAUUUCUUGUGGUGAAAUGAUGUGCCUUUCCUUGCCCAAAUCCCUUCCUGGUGUGUAUCAACAUUACUUAAUGUCUUCUAAUUCAGUCAUUUUUUUAUAAUAUGUCUUCUGUAAACAUUGAACUUAAAAAUCUUAUUUAUUUACUCCAUUAUUGUAGCAUUUCACAGAUUCAAAAAAGUGUAACUCAGUAAUUUCUUACCAAAUCCUAAAUCUGUCUUUUUUAAAAAAAUAAAUAAAAAAGAGAAUCAUG
rnacentral:lncRNA from 1 species